AGCCAGUUAUUGAGGACUGCUUUGGUAGAAUGAAAAAGCAACGUACCACUGGGGAAUUUGGUCAAGCAAGUACGGUAAGACACUGGAUGUGGUUCUUACUUGCAUUAUUGACAUUACCAGAGUUGGCAAUAGUAUGUCGUGCUAGGGUGAAUAGUAUCAUUCCAAUCCUUAUGGCUUAGUUUAUAUCUAGGUGACUAAAAGCACUUCUGCCAAAGAUGUUGCGGAACAGUACACUGGUACCUAAUGUAAUGUAGAGUGGCAAUAUCAGUAGUGUUGACUGUUGGACUAAUAAAUAAUCCUUCUAACUUAAUAUAAGACGGUUGUUGAUACUAGGUCUUAUAUUAAGUGGCAUAGGGAGUAUUUUUCAUGCUGAGUUAGCUGAUUUUCAUGAACAUAUAUUAAGGUACAUCUAUUUGUGUUGUGGGUUCAAGCACAACACUAGCAUGCCAUAUGUAAAUAGCACAGUUAUAUAUUUUUUGUGUUACUCGUCGAAUUGUAUGAAUCUUCGACACUGUUAACAUGUAGAAUAUUGUUGGACUGCAGGGUCCGCUGAAUGAAGUUGGUGUUGAAGGUCAUUCAGUGGCCGGUUCUCACUCAACUGCUAGCUGAUGGGUAGCUGGCAUCAACGUUGCACACCGUGAUUUUUUUGGUGAAAAAAGUCGGUGAUGCUGUUGGAGCAUUCUAUUUGUUCUGUUGUCGCUGCUGCUUGCUUUCUGUUUAUGCUACAUACUACUUGAAUCUUGUACGCAACCUAGAACCUCUGAAAAGCUAUGGAGUACUGUACUGAGCUUGCAAAAGGAUAUUAUAUUAUGGGGCGGAGGGAGUAUAUACUAAUCAUAUGCAAUUCUAUUUCUGGUGUGUACUAUAAACCUCUGUUUGAUCUGACUAUUGUAUGUUUACC
rnacentral:lncRNA from 1 species